rnacentral:rRNA from 1 species
AGAGUUUGAUCCUGGCUCAGAUUGAACGCUGGCGGCGUGCCUUACACAUGCAAGUCGAACGUGAAAGUACCUUCGGGUAUGAGUAAAGUGGCGCACGGGUGAGUAACGCGUGGAUAAUCUACCGGGAAGUUCGGAAUAACAGCUGGAAACGGUUGCUAAUACCGGAUACACUACAUAUAAACGUAUGUGGGAAAGACGGCCUCUGCAUAUGCUGUUGCUUUCCGAUGAGUCCGCGUACCAUUAGCUAGUUGGUGGGGUAAAGGCCUACCAAGGCGACGAUGGUUAACUGGUCUGAGAGGAUGAUCAGUCACACUGGAACUGGAACACGGCCCAGACUCCUACGGGAGGCAGCAGUGGGGAAUAUUGGGCAAUGGACGCAAGUCUGACCCAGCAACGCCGCGUGAAGGAAGAAGGCUUUCGGGUUGUAAACUUCUUUUAAGGGGGAAGAGCAGAAGACGGUACCCCUUGAAUAAGCCACGGCUAACUACGUGCCAGCAGCCGCGGUAAUACGUAGGUGGCAAGCGUUGUCCGGAUUUACUGGGUGUAAAGGGCGUGCAGCCGGAGAGACAAGUCAGAUGUGAAAUCCACGGGCUCAACCCGUGAACUGCAUUUGAAACUGUUUCCCUUGAGUGUCGGAGAGGUAAUCGGAAUUCCUUGUGUAGCGGUGAAAUGCGUAGAUAUAAGGAAGAACACCAGUGGCGAAGGCGGAUUACUGGACGAUAACUGACGGUGAGGCGCGAAAGCGUGGGGAGCAAACCAGGAUUAGAUACCCUGGUAGUCCACGCUGUAAACGAUCGAUACUAGGUGUGCGGGGACUGACCCCCUGCGUGCCGGAGUUAACACAAUAAGUAUCGCACCUGGGGAGUACGAUCGCAAGGUUGAAACUCAAAGGAAUUGACGGGGGCCCGCACAAGCGGUGGAUUAUGUGGUUUAAUUCGAAGCAACGCGAAGAACCUUACCAGGGCUUGACAUCCUGCUAACGAAGUAGAGAUACAUUAGGUGCCCUUCGGGGAAAGCAGAGACAGGUGGUGCAUGGUUGUCGUCAGCUCGUGUCGUGAGAUGUUGGGUCAAGUCCCGCAACGAGCGCAACCCCUAUUGUUAGUUGCUACGCAAGAGCACUCUAGCGAGACUGCCGUUGACAAAACGGAGGAAGGCGGGGACGACGUCAAAUCAUCAUGCCCCUUAUGUCCUGGGCUACACACGUAAUACAAUGGCGGUUAACAAAGGGAUGCAAAGCCGCGAGGCAGAGCGAACCCCAAAAAGCCGUCCCAGUUCGGAUCGCAGGCUGCAACCCGCCUGCGUGAAGUCGGAAUCGCUAGUAAUCGCGGAUCAGCAUGCCGCGGUGAAUACGUUCCCGGGCCUUGCACUCACCGCCCGUCA